rnacentral:lncRNA from 1 species
AGGAUAUGCGGAGCAUUUGCACAUUGUUUUGGAUAGAUUCCGGAGCAUCGACUAUAUGCCAAGUUUAGUGAGUGAGAGUUUGGACUAGAGAAGAUUCCAUUCCUUGGGCAUGUUUUGUCCGAAUAAGGAAUUGAAGUGGAUCCUGGAAGGGUCAAGGACAUAAGUCACCAAUAACUGUUCAGGAAGUAAGAAGUUUUCUUAAAAU